GACGAACGCUGGCGGUGUGCUUAACACAUGCAAGUCGAACGGUAAGGCCCUUUCGGGGGUACACGAGUGGCGAACGGGUGAGUAACGCGUGAGUAACCUGCCCUCAUCUCUGGGAUAACAGUCGGAAACGGUUGUUAAUACUGGAUAUGAGCCUGCAAGGCAUCUUGUGGGUUGGAAAGAUUUUUUGGUUGGGGAUGGACUCGCGGCCUAUCAGCUUGUUGGUGAGGUAGUGGCUCACCAAGGCUUCGACGGGUAGCCGGCCUGAGAGGGCGACCGGCCACAUUGGGACUGAGAUACGGCCCAAACUCCUACGGGAGGCAGCAGUGGGGAAUAUUGCACAAUGGACGGAAGUCUGAUGCAGCAACGCCGCGUGCGGGAUGACGGCCUUCGGGUUGUAAACCGCUUUCAAUUGUGACGAAGCUUUUUGUGACGGUAGCAGUAGAAGAAGCACCGGCUAACUACGUG
rnacentral:rRNA from 1 species